rnacentral:tRNA from 6 species
GCGCGGGUGGUGGAACGGCAGACACACCGCCUUGAGGUGGCGACGCCCGCAAGGGCAUGGAGGUUCGAAUCCUCUCCCGCGCA